rnacentral:rRNA from 1 species
UACGGAGGUUGCAAGCGUUGUUCGGAAUUACUGGGCGUAAAGGGCGCGUAGGAGGUGCAGUAAGUCAGAUGUGAAAGCCCUGGGCUCAACCCAGGAAGUGCAUUUGCAGCUGCUGUACUUGAGUAUGGGAGAGGAGAGUGGAAUUCCCAGUGUAGAGGUGAAAUUCGUAUAUAUUGGGAGGAACGCCCGUGGCGAAGGCGACUCUCUGGGCCAAUACUGUCGCUGAGGUGCGAAAGAUUGGGGAGCAAAUAGG